GACGAACGCUGGCGGCGUGCCUAAUACAUGCAAGUAGAACGCUGAAGGAGGAGCUUGCUUCUCUGGAUGAGUUGCGAACGGGUGAGUAACGCGUAGGUAACCUGCCUGGUAGCGGGGGAUAACUAUUGGAAACGAUAGCUAAUACCGCAUAAGAGUAGAUGUUGCAUGACAUUUGCUUAAAAGGUGCAAUUGCAUCACUACCAGAUGGACCUGCGUUGUAUUAGCUAGUUGGUGGGGUAACGGCUCACCAAGGCGACGAUACAUAGCCGACCUGAGAGGGUGAUCGGCCACACUGGGACUGAGACACGGCCCAGACUACUACGGGAGGCAGCAGUAGGGAAUCUUCGGCAAUGGACGGAAGUCUGACCGAGCAACGCCGCGUGAGUGAAGAAGGUUUUCGGAUCGUAAAGCUCUGUUGUAAGAGAAGAACGAGUGUGAGAGUGGAAAGUUCACACUGUGACGGUAUCUUACCAGAAAGGGACGGCUAACUACGUG
rnacentral:rRNA from 1 species